ACCCUUCUCUAAGGAAUAGCCACUGGAAACGGUGAGUAAUACCUUAUACGCCCUUCGGGGGAAAGAUUUAUCGGAGAGGGAUCAGCCCGCGUUAGAUUAGAUAGUUGGUGGGGUAACGGCCUACCAAGUCUACGAUCUAUAGCUGGUUUUAGAGGAUGAUCAGCAACACUGGGACUGAGACACGGCCCAGACUCCUACGGGAGGCAGCAGUGGGGAAUCUUGGACAAUGGGCGCAAGCCUGAUCCAGCCAUGCCGCGUGAGUGAUGAAGGCCCUAGGGUCGUAAGCUCUUUCGCCAGGGAUGAUAAUGACAGUACCUGGUAAAGAAACCCCGGCUAACUCCGUGCCAGCAGCCGCGGUAAUACGGAGGGGGUUAGCGUUGUUCGGAAUUACUGGGCGUAAAGCGCGCGUAGGCGGAUUGGAAAGUUGGGGGUGAAAUCCCGGGGCUCAACCCCGGAACUGCCUCCAAAACUAUCAGUCUAGAGUUCGAGAGAGGUGAGUGGAAUUCCAAGUGUAGAGGUGAAAUUCGUAGAUAUUUGGAGGAACACCAGUGGCGAAGGCGGCUCACUGGCUCGAUACUGACGCUGAGGUGCGAAAGUGUGGGGAGCAAACAGGAUUAGAUACCCUGGUAGUCCACACCGUAAACGAUGAAUGCCAGACGUCGGGGGGCUUGCCCUUCGGUGUCACACCUA
rnacentral:rRNA from 1 species